rnacentral:lncRNA from 1 species
UGAGCUCUUACUUUGAACGUCGUGGAGUACAAAGCUUCACUGCACAUAAGAUUCUGAAGCCAGUUGUUAAGAUUGAGAAAGAAGACAACAUUGCCACUGCGUGUUCUUCCUCAAGUGGAUCUCUUACCAUUGAAAUACCAGAUUUGCCGAAGAAGAGGAGAAAAUUAAUGUAAGAUGUAUCAUUGUCUAAUGCAUUUAACCAUGUAUAUAUGUAAGCUAUAAAUGUGAGCUAAAAAAAACUUGCGGAUUUUUUCAGAUUGCACUCCAACAAAUCAGGUGAUAAGGACCAGAAUGAAGAUGUGGAAGAUUUAGAAGAUUGAGAAGUUGGCUGCUAAGGAUUUAAGAGGAUUUGCUUUUGAAGUUGUUUUUCAUGGUUUAGUUUAUGUUUCUCUAAUCAAUAGAGAUGUGGAUUUCAGUUUAUGUUUUUUUGAGGUUGUGUUUUUUUUUUUUGAGGACUUUGUCUUUUUUGUUUUUAACCUAGACUACAUUAUUGGUUUAUGUUUUUUGGAUGUUGUGUUUUUUUAAGAAUAUUUUCUUUGGAUCAAUGUUGACUUUGACCUAAAUUAUAUUGUUGGUUUAUAAUGUUAUAUUGAGGGAUUUUGUUGUUUUUAAUGCUGACCUAUAUUUUGAAGACAAAGAUUAUGCAUCUAUAUGUUAAGGUGAAUGGUAAUCAUGUUUUCAUUCAUUUAUUGUUCACUUAA